GCCAGGGUGGCGUAGUGGUUGGCGCACCUGCCUAGCGAGCAGGAGACCCGGGUUACAAUCCCGGCCUUGGUU
rnacentral:tRNA from 1 species